GACAGCUAAGUUGAUUGGGACACCUGAAGCCAAUCAGGGGCUGGCUGAAACUAGUUAAAAGCCUCCCACUUAGUCAGGUGGUAUGUGUGUGUGUGCACCUCCACCUGUCUGUCCGUCCGUGGAGCUGUAGAAGAAAGCCAUGCUGCUCCUGGAGAAAUGGAGCAGUACAAACAUUAUCAGGCAUAAGAAAGGAGGCCCUGAGGUUAUGAAUAAGGAGGAGAUUUAAAUGAGAGAUUUGCACUCCAACUAGGCACCAAUAUGAAGUACAAUACAGCUCAGCACAUUCGAGGACUGCAACUUUUCACUUCAAGCUAAAGAAACGUAAUUUGUUAUGGGCACUAAUGCUUCAAAUCCCUGCACAGAAAACUAAGAUUCUUAGAGCAAUCUGCUUCCAGAAGGACUGUCUCUCCAAAGAUUUGAGAGGAGAAAGGAUGCAAUUGUGUUAAAGACACAGGAUUGAGAGCCCAGAGUUCAGCGUUCCAGUCCUGCCUCUGUUAACUGACUUGAACAGUUCGCUUAGCCCUUGAGUGCACAAACAUGCAUUGAAAUGUUGAUUUUACAUGUGAGUGGGCCCCCUGACAUCACAUGCAUAAAAUUAAGCACAUGCACAAGAUCAGGGCAUUUAAUCUGUCAGUGUCCUCAUUUGUAAAAUAAGGAUAAUAAUAUUUACCUGCUUCCCAGAAGGGUUGUGAAGAUAAUUUACUAGUAUUUGUACAAUGCUUUCACCUUUGUCUGCUUCCUCCACAAAUGUUCCAGUGCUUCCUCUCAUGCUGCCCCUUAGGCAUGAAUGCCUUUCUGAGCUCGUCUGUAUAGAUACUGCCCUCUCCUGCUUCAAAUGUCUCCACCUAGCCCACUGCUUUUGUGAUGGCGGCAAAAAAGUAGCUAGCUGACUGCAGCUAGACUGAGCAUCCGUGGGAAGAGCUGGUAUCGUUAAGUUAUUAAUUUUAGUAUUUAUUAUUUGUAUUGUGGUAGCACCUAGGAGCCCCGGUCAUGGACUGGCCCUCAGUGUGCUAGGUGCUGUACCAAGAUGGACCAAAAAAUGGUCACUGCCCUCAAACUAUUUGAUUAUUCAUAAGAGAAAAAAAUGUUCAAUUGAUCUGGAAUCAUCUAGUUGUGAACUUAGGGGCUGUCUUCUACAUUAUAGCAGCUACAGUGGCACGGCUACAGCACUGCAGUGGUGCCACUAUAGCACUGUAGUGUAGACACAUCCCACAUUGAGGGAAGGAGUUUUCCCAUUGACAUAGGUAAUCCACCUCGCCGAGAGGCCAUAGCUGGGUUGAGGCAAGAGUUCUUCUAUCUACCAAGCUGUGUCUACAGUGGUGGUUAGGUUGACCUAACCACAUCACACAAGGUGCAGAAUUAGUCACAGCCCUGGGCAAUGUAGCUAGGUCAGCCUAAGUUUUAGGUGUAGACCAGGCCUUAGCUAGCCUGAGAAACCCCAUAGUCUUGUUACUGUUCCCACACCUCCCAGACCCCAUCUCCUCCCAUUGUUUGUUACACUUACUUUAUUGUCUCUUGUCUUUAAAUAGGUGGAAAACUCUUCAGGACAGGGACUGGAUCUUAUGUGGUGGUACAGUGUUUUGUACAAUGGAGCCCUGAUCCUGACUGGAGCCUUUGGGCACUACAGAAAUAGAAAUAAUAAAUAUAAUUUAAAUGAAUCUUAUAAUUAUUGUUACUGGCAUCAUUUAUAAAGGUGAAUUAUGUUAUAAUUGGGAAUGUAUUUAGAAGUUCAUGUUUUCCCUGGCACUGUUUUUGCAUGGCCUGAAGAAAAGGCUGUGACCCUCGAAUGCUUGCUGUAUUUUAUUUGUCCAAUGACAAGGUAUCAUGAAUAACUCUUGGGUGUUUUUCCAUGUCUUCUCUUUGCUUACUGAAUUAGUGCUUUUGCCACAUCUGCACUUAGCACUAAAUAUACAGGUGAAUUUGAUUUCAUAAGUCAUCUUUCAUACGCAAGUUCUCCUCAAAGCAGGUUGCAAAGAAUGAAUUGAAUUAGAGCAGUGACUAUGGAUGAAAGCAUGGGAGACAUUAUGCAUUCAGCCUUAGACGUUUAAAAAAAAAUCUAUCCUUUUUUUGUAAUUGUGUGAUCAUCUUAACAUAUUGCUUCUUAUUUCAGUUCCACACAAAUCAGGCAGCAAAACUCACUUUCAGACCACACCAUAAAUUCUCAUUAAAAAUUGAUUUUUUUUAACCUCCUCUGUUGAGCUGAGCAUCACAUCGUAGACUAGAUUAACCUGUAGAGAAGCCACUUGUGUUCUAUUCAUCAAACAUAAAACUACAGCGUCUCCCCAGUAUCCCUAAAUCCUUCAUAAAUGUGCCAAGUCAUAAGGAAGGGGGAUGGUUUCUAUAGGGUACUUUUUUGUAUGUUACCAGAAGGCAAGAAGUGCUCUUUCACUCCAGAGAAGCUUAAAUAAUCUAACUAUUAUGCCCAAAGCUCUCAUUUCUCUAGGUGUUUAAGUAAGUGAGAAAGGCACGAUUGUGUAAUGAUCCUGAGGUCGGGGGAGAGGUUGGAGGGAGAGAAAUUUGCAGA